rnacentral:misc_RNA from 1 species
AAAAAAAAAAAAAAAAAAGAGGGUCGUACUCGUAGUCGUGGAGACUGAACAGAUUCUGUAUGGGAAUGGGACGAUGGAGUGGAGAGAAAAGACAGAGGCAAAGAUGUCUAACUGAAUUAAAUUAAAUUUAUUACUUUGGUUAUGUGGAAUAUUAAAAAAUAAUAAUAAUAUAAUAAUAAGUUUAAAGGGCAGAGAUGAGAUGAGAGGCUGAAAUGAGGAUGACAGACAUGUACCAAACACGUGACGCAUGUUUGGCAUUUGCCCUAUCAGUGAACCAAACCACAGAGACUGGUCCCUCGCUUCCCACCAGAUUUUGUCGAUGACGGCCUCGUGGCUUCUGCUUUCAUUCCUCCCACUUUAUUUUUUUUUAAAG